ensembl:lincRNA
CCCAUCUAAGCCAUGAAAACCAUGCAGAAGUCACCAGCCACGGAAUGAGGAUGAGCCAGGUGCCCAGAGCAUUUAGAACAGCAACAAGUGCUUGUGGGCCUCAUAGGGAAGCCAGGCUGGGCCCUGUUCCCUGUGAUUGUCAUCAGAAUUGGGGUGAUGAUCUCUAGGGCCUGACAAAGCCCUCACCGUGCAGUAACCUUCUACCACCAACUCCUAUCGGUCCUCAUAUUGUCGCACUACGGGGUACUACAGUUUGUGAUUGAGUUAAAUAUCUAGGUAUAAAUAAGUAGUCAUUGAUAUGCACCUGAAAGUUAAAACUGCUGUGAAUCGGGCCGGGAAUUUAACAUAGUGGUUCCACCACCCGCCUCGCAACUGCAAGGUCCUGAGUUCGAUCCUGGCUACAAAAAAAAAAAAACUGGCUGUGAAUCCCCCACUCCUAUAAAUGCAGGGGUUAACAUCUGAAAUUUUUAUAACCUUUGAGGAAAACUAUUAUGGAAAUAUUUAGAACAUCUCCAUGUCCCUUAUUGGAAUUGAAGUGAAAUAAACCCAUAAUAAACAUCAUCCUAAAUAUAAAAGCAAUGACACUGAGCACUACAUCUUCAGAGAAACUUGACUCUUUGGAUGGAAAAACACAUUUCACACUGUGCCUGCCACAUUGAAGCAUCAUAUUUGCUGCAUAAAAACUUCAAAGUAUAACAAAGUUCAAAAUCAUAGCUUGCUAUUUCUAAGGAGUACACAGAUUUACACCACUAUGAAAAGAAGGGGAGGCUUUUUAUCAGGAAGGGGCUGUUUAUCUGAGGGUGGGCUCAGCUAUGGACCCCAUCAUGUGACCUCACUUCCUUGGCGAUGGGUCCAAACAGAACUUGGAACCCUGCACUCAACUGCCUCCCCGGUCACUUGGCUGAGGACAGUUAGCAGCGAACAUGCUGUGCUGCUUUCCCAGACCUCAAGGCCGCAGGCCCAGGACCCCACGAAAAGAAAACACUUGGCAACGAGUGAGAGGAUGGUUCACUUGCCCCAGAUGCCUCAGGACACUAUCCAGAAACUGCCCAAACACUAUGGGCAGCACAGGGCAGGACCCCAAGUGCCCAGAGGCGAGAGGAAGCCCAGGACAGGUGUCCCCAGGCUCAACCCUUAGCCGCUCGAAGUCACUGAGUCCAGGACAGGUCCAUGGAUGGGACACUACUAUGGGAACCCAGUACACAGAGAGCCUGGCGGAGCUCUGCACAGUGAGCACAGUGCAGGCAGGGCCGCCCCACACCAUGAUGGAGCUCCUGGAGCAGGACUUUCCGGAGAGGAAGAGCAGGUCCACCUCUUCUGUCUUUGAUUCCUCACCGGAGCUGAUAUCCCAGGCGAAUCCCCAGGAUGAGCUUGUCCUGAACCAGCUGGAGCCUCCUGAGCCUGCUGAGGCAGAGCCCCACGCUCCGGCCCACACUGACGUCCCACCUGCUGAACUCGUGCCAGCUCCACCUGCAGCUCCCGUGGCAGCUCUGGCCCCACAGCAGGAGCCAGCACCUGGAAGCCCUGCUCCACCAGGAACACAGCUGCAACUUCUGGCUCCAUGGCAGGUGUCCUCUCUUCAGAUCUACCUGGACCCAGCUCUUCACCCCUAUCUGCAAUCUCUCUCUCCUACAGAUUUACUUAUCCUUUUAUUCAUUGCUGCCCUUAUUUCCCAGAGACAGAGCAAUGAUGGAAUUCCUUUAAAUAAACUUUAAGGUUUUAGUCUUGUUUGAAAUGAUCAACCUCCUGCAUUUUCAGUGCAUUCUCGGUCUUUUGCAAUGUUGUGUAACCUUCACCACACUCCCCUUCCAAGACAUUUUCCUAAAUUCAACACCCAAAGAUAUUUCCUCUUCUUUCCCCUGCUCC